rnacentral:rRNA from 1 species
UACAGAGGGUGCGAGCGUUAAUCGGAAUUACUGGGCGUAAAGCGCGUGUAGGCGGGUCGGUGUGUCGGGUGUGAAAUCCCCCAGGCUCAACCUGGGAACUGCAUUCGAAACUACCGGUCUAGAGUGGUGGAGAGGGAAGUGGAAUUCCCGGUGUAGUGGUGAAAUGCGUAGAUAUCGGGAGGAACACCAGUGGCGAAGGCGACUUCCUGGCCUGUUCUUGACGCUGAGGCGCGAAAGCUAGGGUAGCAAACGGG